AUUUUUUUUAAUUUUCUUUUCUUUUCUUCUCCUUUAUUUUCCCUCCUCUCUUUUCUUUUUUUUUUCCUUUUCUCUUUUCUCCUUCUUUCUUUCUGCUCCCUUCGUUCUUUCUUUCUCGUUUCGUUCGCAGGGAGGUGGCUGGCCAUGGAAGGCGCCGGCAGCAAGGGGGAGACCAAAUCCGGCCAAGGGAACGCCGGAUCCGUGACCUAGGGGUCCGGGCGACCCCGUCCCAUGGAGCGACGGCGGCUGGGAGGCGGCCGGCGAGCCUGGCGACG
rnacentral:lncRNA from 1 species